rnacentral:misc_RNA from 1 species
GAAAUGCGAUAAGUAUUGUGAAUUGCAGAAUUCAGUGAAUCAUCGAAUCUUUGAACGCACAUUGCGCCCGCCAGUAUUCUGGCGGGCAUGCCUGUCCGAGCGUCAUUUCAACCAUCAAGCCCCCGGGCUUGUGUUGGGGACCUGCGGCUGCCCGCAGGCCCUGAAAACCAGUGGCGGGCUCGCUGUCACACCGAGCGUAGUAGCAAUCACCUCGCUCAGGGCGUGCUGCGGGUUCCGGCCGUUAAACAGCCUUACAAAACCCAAGGUUGACCUCGGAUCAGGUAGGAAGACCCGCUGAACUUAAGC